rfam:Oryza glaberrima chromosome 3 Oglab03_0081_1, whole genome shotgun sequence.
AAUAAUUGUAGUUUGACACUAUUCACGUUUAACGUUUAACCGUUCGUCUUAUUUAAAAUUUUUUUAUGAUUAGUAUUUUUAUUGCUAUUAGAUGAUAAAACAUGAAUAGUACUUUAUGUGUGACUAAAUAUUUUUAAAUUUUUCAUAAAUUUUUCAAAUAAGACGAACGAUCAAACAUUGAGCAUGAAUAUUCACGGCUGUACUUAUU